AGUCGAGCGAACGGACGAGAAGCUUGCUUCUCUGAUGUUAGCGGCGGACGGGUGAGUAACACGUGGAUAACCUACCUAUAAGACUGGGAUAACUUCGGGAAACCGGAGCUAAUACCGGAUAAUAUUUUGAACCGCAUGGUUCAAAAGUGAAAGACGGUCUUGCUGUCACUUAUAGAUGGAUCCGCGCUGCAUUAGCUAGUUGGUAAGGUAACGGCUUACCAAGGCAACGAUGCAUAGCCGACCUGAGAGGGUGAUCGGCCACACUGGAACUGAGACACGGUCCAGACUCCUACGGGAGGCAGCAGUAGGGAAUCUUCCGCAAUGGGCGAAAGCCUGACGGAGCAACGCCGCGUGAGUGAUGAAGGUCUUCGGAUCGUAAAACUCUGUUAUUAGGGAAGAACAUAUGUGUAAGUAACUGUGCACAUCUUGACGGUACCUAAUCAGAAAGCCACGGCUAACUACGUGCCAGCAGCCGCGGUAAUACGUAGGUGGCAAGCGUUAUCCGGAAUUAUUGGGCGUAAAGCGCGCGUAGGCGGUUUUUUAAGUCUGAUGUGAAAGCCCACGGCUCAACCGUGGAGGGUCAUUGGAAACUGGAAAACUUGAGUGCAGAAGAGGAAAGUGGAAUUCCAUGUGUAGCGGUGAAAUGCGCAGAGAUAUGGAGGAACACCAGUGGCGAAGGCGACUUUCUGGUCU
rnacentral:rRNA from 1 species